CCAAACGUUAUUCGGAUUUACUGGGCUUAAAGAGUUCGUAGGCGGUUCGGUAAGUGAGGUGUGAAAGCCCUCGGCUCAACCGAGGAAUUGCGCUUCAAACUGCCGGGCUCGAGGGAGAUAGAGGUGAGCGGAACUGAUGGUGGAGCGGUGAAAUGCGUAGAGAUCCGGAGGAACACCAGAGGCGAAGGCGGCCUACUGGGCUGCACCUGACGCUGAGCCGCGAAAGCCAGGGGAGCGAACGGG
rnacentral:rRNA from 1 species